GGAACAAUUUUCAAGAUUAUAAUAAGAAGACCCUAAAAAAUGUAUCGUUAGAGCAUGCUUCCAAAUAUUCGAAAAUAUAUGGCUAUUCGGUCGAGAUAUAUUAGCUCAAAUUUGUUUUUACACUGCAUUUUUUAGUCAUGAAUUGUAACGUUUAAUUCAUUAUGUUUUUGUGUUUUGUUUUGACAAAAUCUUACAUGAAAACAAUACAACAUACAGUAUAUAAAACAAAGCUAACAUAUCGAUAGUUCUUAUACUGCUAUUGCUCUUCUUUUAAAUUCUAACUUCUCAGUCUUUCCUUUCUUGUUUUCUUUAGGUUUUUUAAGAAAAAAAAACUCUGAUGAACUUCAAGGAAAAAAACAUACACAUCAUGUCAGGUCUAUACUUUUGUACGCAAGACGCUCGAAACAUUCAAAAGCGUUCGUUAUAUGUCAUGUUGAAACAUUGUCUUUCAAAAUGUUGCAUAACUUUACUAUUAUUAAAUCGGGUAUCUACAAAUGUAUAAUUUUUUUUUUAUACUUAGAUAUCUUUAAUUAAUACAUUAUCCUUAAAAU
rnacentral:lncRNA from 1 species